rnacentral:rRNA from 1 species
GUGCCAGCCGCCGCGGUAAUACGGAAGGUCCGGGCGUUAUCCGGAUUUAUUGGGUUUAAAGGGAGCACAGGCCGGCUGUCAAGCGUGUUGUGAAAUGUAGGCGCUCAACGUCUGACUUGCAGCGCAUACUGGUCCACUUGAGUGCGCACAACGCGGGCGGAAUUUGUCGUGUAGCGGUGAAAUGCUUAGAUAUGACGAAGAACUCCGAUUGCGAAGGCAGCUGACGGGAGCGUUACUGACGCUGAAGCUCGAAAGUGCGGGUAUCGAACAGGAUUAGAUACCCUGGUAGUCCGCACGGUAAACGAUGGAUGCCCGCUAUUUGUCCAUUAGGAUAAGUGGCCAUGUGAAAACGUUAAGCAUCCCACCUGGGGAGUACGCCGGCAACGGUGAAACUCAAAGGAAUUGACGG